CCUACGGGUGGCAGCAGUGGGGGAUAUUGCACAAUGGGGGGAACCCUGAUGCAGCGACGCCGCGUGGGUGAAGAAGCGCCUCGGCGCGUAAAGCCCUGUCAGCAGGGAAGAAAAUGACGGUACCUGAAGAAGAAGCCCCGGCUAACUACGUGCCAGCAGCCGCGGUAAUACGUAGGGGGCAAGCGUUAUCCGGAUUUACUGGGUGUAAAGGGGGCGCAGACGGCGAUGCAAGCCAGGAGUGAACGCCCGGGGCCCAACCCCGGGACUGCUUGUGGAACUGGGUGGCUGGAGUGCAGGAGGGGCAGGCGGAAUUGCGGGGGUAGGGGGGAGAUGCGAAAAUAGCAGGAGGAAC
rnacentral:rRNA from 1 species